UACGAAGGGGGCUAGCGUUGCUCGGAAUCACUGGGCGUAAAGGGUGCGUAGGCGGGUCUUAAGUCAGGGGUGAAAUCCUGGAGCUCAACUCCAGAACUGCCUUUGAUACUGAAGAUCUUGAGUUCGGGAGAGGUGAGUGGAACUGCGAGUGUAGAGGUGAAAUUCGUAGAUAUUCGCAAGAACACCAGUGGCGAAGGCGGCUCACUGGCCCGAUACUGACGCUGAGGCACGAAAGCGUGGGGA
rnacentral:rRNA from 1 species